AACGAACGCUGGCGGCAGGCUUAACACAUGCAAGUCGAACGCAUCCUUCGGGGUGAGUGGCAGACGGGUGAGUAACGCGUGGGAACGUGCCCUUCAGUUCGGGAUAACCCAGGGAAACUUGGGCUAAUACCGGAUACGUGCGAGAGCAGAAAGAUUUAUCGCUGAAGGAUCGGCCCGCGUCUGAUUAGCUAGUUGGUGGGGUAAUGGCCCACCAAGGCGACGAUCAGUAGCUGGUCUGAGAGGGUGACCGGCCACACUGGGACUGAGACACGGCCCAAACACCUACGGGUGGCAGCAGUUGGGAAUUGUUCACAAUGGACGAAAGUCUGAUGACGCAAUGCCGCGUGGAGGAAGACGGCCUUCGGGUUGUAAACUUCUUUUAUGUGGGACGAUUAUGACGGUACCACAUGAAUAAGGACCUGCUAACUACGUGCCAGCAGCCGCAGUAA
rnacentral:rRNA from 1 species